rnacentral:rRNA from 1 species
GAUAAACGCUGGCGGCGUGCCUAACACAUGCAAGUCGAACGCCCUGCGCAAGCAGGGAGUGGCGGACGGGUGAGUAACACGUGGGUCAUCUACCAUCAGGUGAGGAAUACCGGCGAGAAAUCGCCGACAAUACCGCAUAUGCUCGCAAGAGCAAAGCUCGUAAGGGCGCCUGAGGAUGAGCCUGCGUCCGAUUAGCUAGUUGGUGAGGUAAUGGCUCACCAGGGCUCCGAUCGGUAGCUGGUCUGAGAGGAUGACCAGCCACACUGGGACUGAGACACGGCCCAGACUCCUACGGGAGGCAGCAGUGGGGAAUAUUGGACAAUGGGCGAAAGCCUGAUCCAGCCAUGCCGCGUGAGUGAUGAAGGCCUUAGGGUUGUAAAGCUCUUUCACCCACGACGAUGAUGACGGUAGUGGGAGAAGAAGCCCCGGCUAACUUCGUGCCAGCAGCCGCCGUAA